UACCGGAGUGAGGGGCCUCUGGGUCCACCUCCCACCCGUGUCUAUCGUACCUUGUUGCUUCGGCGGGCCCGCCGUUUCGACGGCCGCCGGGGAGGCCUUGCGCCCCCGGGCCCGCGCCCGCCGAAGACCCCAACAUGAACGCUGUUCUGAAAGUAUGCAGUCUGAGUUGAUUAUCGUAAUCAGUUAAAACUUUCAACAACGGAUCUCUUGGUUCCGGCAUCGAUGAAGAACGCAGCGAAAUGCGAUAAGUAAUGUGAAUUGCAGAAUUCAGUGAAUCAUCGAGUCUUUGAACGCACAUUGCGCCCCCUGGUAUUCCGGGGGGCAUGCCUGUCCGAGCGUCAUUGCUGCCCUCAAGCACGGCUUGUGUGUUGGGCCCCCGUCCCCCUCUCCCGGGGGACGGGCCCGAAAGGCAGCGGCGGCACCGCGUCCGGUCCUCGAGCGUAUGGGGCUUUGUCACCUGCUCUGUAGGCCCGGCCGGCGCCAGCCGACACCCAACUUUAUUUUUCUAAGGUUGACCUCGGAUCAGGUAGGGAUACCCGCUGAACUUAAGCAUAUCAAUAAGCGGAGGAACUAAGGUGACCUCGGAUCAGGGUAGGGAACCAAAAUA
rnacentral:rRNA from 2 species